GCUGAAACAUUAGCUAGAGCCUAUAAAGUGGUGUUCAAGUGCUUAUCUGGUUUGGCCAACAUGGUUUAUUUAAAUGUUACCAUUGCUUACAGCACUUCAUGAAAUGAAAACAGGAAAAUACCAUGUCUGGCACCUAAAAUACAACAUGUAGGCAGAGUUCCCAAAGCAGUUUGCAAGAGAGGCAGAAAACCCCACACUUUCCUACUCUGCCAUUUCACACUGUCAAGAAUGCAAAGUAAUGAAUGUACUUUUCUUCGCAUCUGUAUGACUUAUGGUUUCGCCCCUUUUGAUCUGCAAGUUUCAUCAGUUCCCCCACUCUUGCAUUCUCAAAUACAAAGUGACUCAGUCCCACAACAAGCAUUUUGAUAAGUCUGCAUUUCACCUAUCAGAGAAUGUUUGCCUGUCCAAGAUUGCUGGUGCUUUUACUCCUGAAAGCCUCCUUCACAAAUCCCUGCCCCCAUCAGUGCAUGUGCUCCUCUUUGGGUCCUGCAUCACUCAAGGUAGACUGUGGCUCUAGAGACCUGGAUGCCCUUCCUCUUCUGCCUAAUGCAACAGAAGAACUUUAUCUGCAGUACAACCAACUGAAAGCAAUACCUGCAGGAACAUUUG